CACUUCGGACUAUUUGUGUUUUUUUAAUGAUUGGCUAUCUCCUUUCGGCAUGAAAUAAAGUUGAGCUAUUUAUUUGAAAAUUGGUCAUUCUUUCUUACGGAGACGGAGAUGCGGGCCUUGCAGAACAAAACUAGAAAUGGACAAAGAAAAUCACCCCUAACGAUGGCUAGCAACUUAAGAUGAUUGCUCGAUAUGCACCAAUAUCUAACCGGGACUAUAUUCCACGAUUUUUUUUCUGCAGCCGACCAUUCUGUGACAUCUCUUUGAACUUAAGCAUUUGAAAUAUAAGCAUUUGAAAUAUCUGCAAAUGACAACAUAUCUUCGUAAUAACGCCACACAGUGAGCCUUCAUAGAAACUUAACACAAAUUAAUAAGCCUUCUGAUCGGGACCUGCACCACGGACGGCCAAAAACCUCAACCAAUGAAGUUCAUCGGAACCCCGCCCAUAUCACAACAGGCGACGAUUCACUGACACGAUCCGGCGAAGGUUAACGCUGGAAGCGCUACUGAUCACGACCAUGCAACCAUGCGCCCUUCAUCUGUUGCAUAUCUUGUAGGAUCUACCAUCAACAGCUAUCAGCAAGACUACCUUACACUGACAUCCCAAGUUUAUAUUAUGAUCCUCCGCUUAAGACUGAAUCCUGACACACUGGAAUUUCGGAUGCCUCAGUUUCGGAACCUCUACUGAAACUAGACGACCCUCGACUGACAUCUCGUUUACCUUCUUAUCGGAACUUCUGCAGCACAGGACCAGACGACCAUGCACAAACUGGAUAAGACGCCCAUGCACAGACAGGACCAGACGACCAUCAACUGACGUCAUUCGGGAUGCCUUCUCGUUGUAACCGCUACACGACAAGAUAAGACCACCAUCCAGUGACGUCACGAAGCAAGCCUUCUCAUUGAAACCACUCCAAGGCAGGAUUAGACGACCAUCUACUGAUGCUAACCCGCAUGCCUUAUCAUUUGAAAUUCUCCAAAGACAGGACCAGACAACCACCCACCAAUCUACGUAAUCCGGCUUGCCUAUUCUUCAAACACUACCCGCUCAAGCAGACGAACAUAGGGCCUGAUGUCACCUGCGCAAUCCUUGAUUUGAAAACCCCUUUUACAAACCAACAGAUGAUAAAAUACAGACUGGAUCUUUUCACUCCGUAAAUGAUGGUUUGUAUAAGGAAGUAGUAGACACAACUUUUAAGCCACAUAAUAGAAAUAUUAUCAAUUACGUAAAUUGAGGUGCAAACAAACUCGUCUAAAACCAAUUCACUUCACGAUGAUGUCCAUUGUCCACAGAUUUCCGUGUGCAAUAAUGAUAAUUUCAAAUUUAAAUAUUUUUUAUUGGCAUUUUGUUGUUGGAAAAUUGUUUACCUGCUUU